UACGUAGGGUGCAAGCGUUAAUCGGAAUUACUGGGCGUAAAGCGUGCGCAGGCGGUUUUGUAAGUCAGAUGUGAAAUCCCCGGGCUUAACCUGGGAACUGCGUUUGAAACUGGAAGGCUUGAGUGUGGCAGAGGGGGGUGGAAUUCCACGUGUAGCAGUGAAAUGCGUAGAGAUGUGGAGGAACACCGAUGGCGAAGGUAGCCCCCUGGGCUAACACUGACGCUCAUGCACGAAAGCGUGGGGAGCAAACAGG
rnacentral:rRNA from 1 species